rnacentral:misc_RNA from 1 species
GAGUACGGCAAGAAAGGAUGAUCUGGCCGAUGUUGACACGGGCGACAAGGCCGUUGGGCUUGCCGAAGGCACCGCGCAUACCAGUCUGGAGUCUAUCGGCACCAGCGCAAGACAACAUCUUAUUGAUACGGACGACGUGGUAGGGGUGGGCACGGACACGGAGGUGGAAGGCUUCCUUUCCGGCGGUCUUCACCAUGUACUUGUUGGCGCAAA